UACGUAGGGUGCAAGCGUUAAUCGGAAUUACUGGGCGUAAAGGGCUCGUAGGCGGCCAACUAAGUCAGACGUGAAAUCCCUCGGCUUAACCGGGGAACUGCGUCUGAUACUGGAUGGCUUGAAUCCGGGAGAGGGAUGUGGAAUUCCAGGUGUAGCGGUGAAAUGCGUAGAUAUCAGGUGGAACACCGGAGGCGAAGGCGCCUGCCUGGCAGUGUAUUGACGCUGAGGUGCGAAAGUGCGGGGAGCAAACAGG
rnacentral:rRNA from 1 species